CGCUGAAAGCAUCUAAGCGCGAAGCCAACUUCAAGAUAAGAUUUCCCACCGCAAGGGUAAGACUCCAGAAAGACUAUCUGGUUGAUAGGUCGAAGGUGUAAGUGCAGCAAUGUAUUUAGCUUAUCGAUACUAAUAGGUCGAGGACUUGACCAAUAUUUAUU
rnacentral:rRNA from 1 species